UGCAUAUGCUAAUUAUUGAUCACUUCAGAUAUUAUCAAGCACUUUAUUUUUUACUCAAAUGUGUGUUUCAUAAUGAUUUGAAAAAAAACAUUUUCAAUUGAUCCAGCACUUAGCCAUAUUCCUAUUUUAAGGUUAAAAGCUUGAUGAUGACAUGAUGGAAAAUAGAUUCAAAGAUGAGCACUAUUUCGAAUGUAGCUGUUACCAGUAUUGUACAGAAUUUUGAAGACACUAUUUUUCAUACGGGUAGCAGAAACUCAAUGAAUUCUACUACAGUGAAGCCAGUUUUACGAAUUAGCAGAAAUCAUUUAAUGGCUCGUUAAAACACCAUCUGCACAUUUCAGGGAACAGCGCAAAUAUGAAUAAUCAGUUAGGAAGUAUCAUGUUGGAAAAUACCACUGCCAUUCGACGUGUGAAGGAUUCAGCACCUGUUAAUGGUGCUCAACAAAAUGUAGAAGAGAAAAAAUCAUCUGCACCAUUUUCAGGAGAUUUAAAUAAUUUGGACAAUGAAUUAUAUAUAGAUUCUGAACACUUAACUUUGUGGCAGCAUCCAAUUACCACAUUGAAUUAUUUUUUCCGAGAACUUUUUAAUAAUAUAUUUAGCUUAGGGGGGAAGGCAUUGCAUUACAAAAAGACAGUAUGGAGCAUAGUAUCGAUAAUUACAUUAUUUCUGAUAUUGAGUAGAAUUUCUGGUCCACAUCAACAGAUAUUGAAAGCAUGGGAGACAAAAAUAAUUUGGUGGUUAUAUUGGAUAGGUUUAGGUGUCCUUUCCAGUGUAGGUCUUGGUACAGGUUUACACACUUUUGUACUUUAUCUAGGACCACAUAUAGCAGCUGUCACAAUGGCUGCGUAUGAAUGUGGCGCUCUCAAUUUUCCUGAACCACCAUAUCCUGAUCAAAUAAUAUGUCCAACAACAAUUGAUCCAAUGUGGACAGCAGGAAUAUUAAAUAUCAUGAGAAAAGUACGCAUAGAAGCUAUGCUUUGGGGUGCUGGUACUGCACUUGGUGAACUACCACCAUAUUUUAUGGCUAGGGCAGCUCGAACUAGCAGACAAAAUAAUAGAAAUGAAGAAUUUGAUCAAGAAGAUUUAAAAGAAUUAGAAGCUUUAGAAGCUUUAGAAAAUGGAGAAGAUGUUUCAUUAUUAAUUCGACUAAAGCUAAUUAUGAAACAUUUUGUGCAAAAAGCUGGAUUCUGGGGAAUUCUUGCUUGUGCUUCAAUCCCCAAUCCAUUGUUCGAUCUUGCUGGCUUGACAUGUGGUCAUUACUUAAUUCCAUUUUGGACAUUUUUUGGAGCUACACUUAUAGGAAAGGCGAUUAUAAAAAUGCAUAUUCAACAACUUGCAGUAAUUAUAGCUUUCAAUGAAGAACUUUUAGAUAAAUUCAUAAAACUGUUAGCAAUUGUACCAUUUAUUGGUUCGAAAUUUCAAGAGCCACUGAAAAAGUAUCUUAUUCAACAGAAAGAAAAAUUGCAUGACAAAACGUCGAUGGAUGGAGCAACAACAAUUUCAUGGUUAUUUGAUAAAUUUGUAAUGUUGAUGAUAUGUUACUUUUUAGUAACAAUUAUUCAUGCGUUAGCAAGGAAUUAUCAUCGUAAACGAACUAAAGAAUGUACUGAUUAAAAUUUAUUGAAUAUAGGAUAUACAAUGUAAACAUAAAAUCAAUUAAAAAACUACGUACAGAUAAAGUUGCUAUUAAAGUGCAGUAUAAUUAAGGAUUGAUUUCAAAAUAUUUUGGGAUAUUUCCGGAGAUAUAAGUACAAAUAGUAUUUUUAACUAGUUGGUAUUUUUCCAUUCAUGUGAUACAUUAAAAAUUUAAUGUUAUGAGAAUCCUUUAUAAAUAAUGAGUGUAGAGUCGUACAUUUUUAUUCUGAAUAUAUAUAUGUAUAUGAAUAACAGUUUGUAAUUUAUAUUACUACUGUAAGAAAAUUAUUCAAGGUAUUUUUUGGAGGGGAAACGGAAUAUUAUAAAUACAAAAAUGAUGAAAAUCAUACCUUUAUAAAUAAUGAGUGUAGAGUCAUACAUUUUUAUUCUGAAUAUAUAUAUGUAUAUGAAUAACAGUUUGUAAUUUAUAUUACUACUGUAAGAAGAUUAUUCGAGGUAUUUUUUGGGGGGAAACGGAAUAUUAUAAAUACAAAAACAUAUUAAAAAUUAUUAAAACAUGUUUGUAAAUAAUAAACGUAUAGAAACUAAUAAAAAGAACAUGUAAUAAUAUACAAAAUUUUCAUUAGUAAUGAGAUACUUAAUGUGUAAAAUUUAUAUAAAGACAUGGAAAAUUAUAUUAUUUUAAGUCAUUGUUCAUUAACAUCAAAUAUAACUGAUACUCAUAUGAUUUUAUAACGUGAUUUAUUUACAUAAAUAUUUAAUUUCUUAUUGAUUUAAAUGAAGUAACGCGAGCAAUAUAUAGGUAGGAAAAAACAGUUAUUAAGUUCAUUUAUAUGGUAAGUAUAUGCUAAGGAAAAGUAGCAUCAGUGGUGUCCCAUCAUUACUACUUCUUUUGCAAUAAAAUUAACAAUAUGUAGGAUAUAUAUAUAUAUAUAUA